rnacentral:rRNA from 1 species
GAUGAACGCUGGCGGCGUGCCUAAUACAUGCAAGUCGAGCGAACGGACGAGAAGCUUGCUUCUCUGAUGUUAGCGGCGGACGGGUGAGUAACACGUGGAUAACCCACCUAUAAGACUGGGAUAACUUCGGGAAACCGUAGCUAAUACCGGAUAAUAUUUUGAACCGCAUGGUUCAAAAGUGAAAGACGGUCUUGCUGUCACUUAUAGAUGGAUCCGCGCUGCAUUAGCUAGUUGGUAAGGUAACGGCUUACCAAGGCAACGAUGCAUAGCCGACCUGAGAGGGUGAUCGGCCACACUGGGACUGAGCCACGGUCCAGACUCCGACGGGAGGCAGCAGUAGGGAAUCGUCCGCAAUGGGCGAAAUCCUGACGGAGCAACGCCGCGUGGGUGAUGAAGGUCUUCGGAUCGUAAAACUCUGUUAUUAGGGAAGAACAUAUGUGUAAGUAACUGUGCACAGCUUGACGGUACCUAGUCAGAAAGCCACGGCUAACUACGUG